rnacentral:rRNA from 1 species
ACGGCUCAGUAACACGUAGUCAACCUAACCUAUGGACGUGGAUAACCUCGGGAAACUGAGAAUAAACCGCGAUAGAUCAUUAUGCCUGGAAUGGCUUAUGGUUCAAACAAUUUAUUGCCGUAGGAUGGGACUGCGGCCUAUCAGCUUGUUGGUGAGGUAAUGGCCCACCAAGGCUAUAACAGGUACGGGCUCUGAGAGGAGAAGCCCGGAGAUGGGUACUGAGACACGGACCCAGGCCCUAUGGGGCGCAGCAGGCGAGAAACCUUAGCAAUGUGCGAAAGCACGACUAGGUUAAUCCGAGUGAUUUCUGUUGAAGAAAUCUUUUGUCAGUCGUAAAACCACAGAUGAAUAAGGGGUGGGCAAGUCUGGUGUCAGCCGCCGCGGUAAUACCAGCACCUCGAGUGGUCAGGAGGUUUAUUGGGCCUAAAGCAUCCGUAGCCGGCUAUGCAAGUCUCCGGUUAAAUCCAGCUGCUCAACAGAUGGGCUGCCGGAGAUACUACAUGGCUAGGGAGCGGGAGAGGUAGACGGUAUUCGGUGGGUAGGGGUAAAAUCCACUGAUCCAUCGAGGACCACCAGUGGCGAAGGCGGUCUACCAGAACGCGUUCGACGGUGAGGGAUGAAAGCUGGGGGAGCAAACCGGAUUAGAUACCCGGGUAGUCCCAGCUGUAAACGAUGCAAACUCGGUGAUGCAUUGGCUUAUGGCCAAUGCAGUGCCGCAGGGAAGCCGUUAAGUUUGCCGCCUGGGAAGUACGGACGCAAGUCUGAAACUUAAAGGAAUUGGCGGGGGAG